CAGUCACCUGGGCGCAUUCUCUGUGGAGCCCUGGCUGUGGCCUCGCAGAUGGACAGCCGGAAACAGUGGGCCGCAGAAAUGUGAGAUGACCUCAGCCACCCAGCCACCAGGCCCCAAGGCUUGUCCAGACAAGGCCUGCGGGAAGGAAGGUGUUUCCUCAUGAUUGGCCCCUGGCGGGGCUGCAGGGAGGCCGCUCUGUGCCCACUGGAAGGAGCAGAAACGGCUUCGGGGCCCGAGCCAGCACGUGGCGUUCCAGCUCUUUCCUGUGGCCCAGCCCGGAGGGGUGGACACCCAGCUGCCUAACAGUGCAAGCAGAGGCAAAAUUGCACCUGUGACGGCAGUCCAAGGGGACACGCAGUGCCACUCAUUCGGUGGUAAAAGAAGGGCCCUGUCUUGGUUCAGAAGGCAGGAGGGGCCGUCCCUGAGGAGGGAGCGUGACAGCUGAGACCUGAAGGAUAAGCACAGCUGAUGUGGUCGGAGGGCAGGAAAGAAUUUCCCAGGCACAGGGAAUGGUGCGUGCAAAGGCCCUGAGGCGGGAAUGAAGGUCUAAGGACGACAGAAAGUACCCCAGGGCUCCCAAGGGAGCGGCCACGCUGCACAGGGGUUCCCAAGCUGACCUGCCCACAGAACCCCUGCUGCAGGAACGUCUCACAGAAGCGGGCGCCCCGACUUCCUCAGGAAACACGGAGUGAGAUGGGUGGGCCAAAGCCGGGAUGGAGUUCUCACUCAGACACUGGUUUGCCCUGGGACCCUAUGGAGUCUCUUCAGGGUCACACAGGGCCUCUCAUCCCUGGGUGUUUAGGGAGGAAGGGGCCAGGGGUGCCCCGUGGAAAUAGGGCUCCCUGCCUGGGGCCACGCAAUCAUGGCAGUAGGAGACGCACCCUCGUCGGGGAGAGGUGGCCAGAGCGCCCCCCCCCCCGGAGUGGACGGAAGCCCCCUCACGUACGACCUGCACAGAGAGGACAGCUGGGGGGUCAUACUGGCUUCGCAGAACAGCCGAGGUUUGUCCCUCCCCCCACUUCCCAAGGCCACGGUCAGGUCGGCCAGGGGCUCGCUCAGGCGCUGUGGAGGCCAACGCCAUGCCGUGGCUCCAGGCGGGAGAGGGGGCUAGAAGCUGUGACACCUCAUUUUAAGGGGCCACCCAUUAAUUAAUUAGGCCCAAUGAAUAAUUCAUGCUGCCUUGGGUAUAUUAAUAGCAUAUUUAUAUGGCGUGCUAUGGAUAGUAUACAUUCUCGUCUGAACACUUCACAAAUAAUUCAUGACCCCGCUCCUUUCCUGGGCUCCGGGAGAACCUGGCCAGUGCUGAGGCUAGGGCUCGUGGGUUGCUUCCAACAGCCAAAUUUUACAUUUCAUUAUAAAUGGCUUUGCUGGGCAUGUCGGUAACUUUUACAUUUCCAUCCACUUUAUUAUUAAUGGCUUUCCUGAACUGUAGCAGCCAGGCGUCGCGCACAAUGCGUUAUAAAUAUUUGAUCCAGCAUCUAUAGUCCGCCAUUUAUCAUUUAUAACGGGUUACAAAAACAUUAUAAAACAUUUACCGCACAUUUAUAGAUCAUUU